rnacentral:lncRNA from 10 species
ACUAGAAGAUCAUAAUUAAAUAAUUAUACAGAAGUAAAGCAAGAUUAUAUAAGUAUACAUAGAGACUCAGAAUGCUUAAAAUGUUUAAGUUCAAAGUUGUGUACUAUUUUUGUCCUGGCAGAAAGACCUCCAUUUUAUCUUUCUUUUUCUUUUUCCUUCCUUCUUUGUUUGUUUUUUUUUUGUUUGUUUGUUUUUUGUUUGACAGAAUCUCACUCUGUCACCCAGGCUGGAGUGCACUGGUGCAAUCUUGGCUCAUUGCAACCUCCACCUCCCAGGUUCAAGCUAUUCUCCUGCCUCAGCCUCCCAAGUAACUGGGAUUAUAGUCACAUGCCACCACACCCAGCUAAUUUUUGUAUUUUUAGUAGAGAUGGGGUUUCACCGUGUUGGCCAGGCUGGUCUCCAACUUCUGACCUCAAGUGAUCCUCCUGCUUUGGCCCGCCAAAGUGUUGGGAUUAUAGGCAAGCGAGAGCCACCGUGCCUGGCCAAGACCUCGGUUUUAAAUACAGUAUUUACAAUAUCCUUUUGAAGUUGUAAGAAGUCAUGGUGCUGAAUGGUUCAUUGUUCAACAGUUCACUUAUUUCUGAACACACUGAGAAGAAAACAUCCUUCAGUUCUUUUAUCUCCUUCUGUCUAUAUAUUUUACGUCCCAAUAUUAGAGACACAUAAACCAGUCCAUUUUCCAUUUCAAAAAUGCUUUGACCUCCAUCUAGCUUUCCCACUGGAGGGCAGUAGAGAACCAUCCAGGCCAUCCUUGAUUUGAACUAACUGGCGAAUAUGACAAGUCAGACUUCAAAAUACUUAACACUUAAUCCCUACUGAUGAAAAGUCAUAACCAAAGUAUCUUUUCAGGAAACCUAUUUUCUCCCAUAAAAGUUCUAUAAUUGAUCAUGAAAAUACAUUAAAAGAAAUAAAGCAAAAUGUGUUUGUAAAGUACUAAGUG